rnacentral:rRNA from 1 species
CCUACGGGUGGCAGCAGUGAGGAAUAUUGGUCAAUGGCCGAGAGUCUGAACCAGCCAAGUAGCGUGAAGGAUGACUGCCCUAUGGAUUGUAAACUUCUUUUAUAUGGGAGUAAAGUCUUCCACGUGUGGGUGUUGGUGAGUACCAUAUGAAUAAGGAUCGGCUAACUCCGUGCCAGCAGCCGCGGUAAUACGGAGGAUCCGAGCGUUAUCCGGAUUUAUUGGGUUUAAAGGGUGCGUAGGUGGAUUGUUAAGUCAGUUGUGAAAGUCUGCGGCUCAACCGUAAAAUUGCAGUUGAAACUGACAGUCUUGAGUACAGUAGAGGUGGGCGGAAUUCGUGGUGUAGCGGUGAAAUGCUUAGAUAUCACGAAGAACUCCGAUUGCGAAGGCAGCUCACUGGACUGCAACUGACACUGAGGCUCGAAAGUGUGGGUAUCAAACAGGAUUAGAUACCCGUGUAGUC